UACGGGGGGGGCAAGCGUUGUUCGGAUUUACUGGGCGUAAAGGGCUCGUAGGUGGCCAAUUAAGUCGGACGUGAAAUCCCCAGGCUCAACUUGGGAACUGCGUCUGAUACUGGUUGGCUUGAAUUCGGGAGAGGGAUGCAGAAUUCCAGGUGUAGCGGUGAAAUGCGCAGAUAUCAGGAAGAACACCAAUGGCGAAGGCGGCCUGCUGGGCAGUAACUGACGCUGAGGAGCGAAAGCGUGGGGAGCGAACAGG
rnacentral:rRNA from 1 species